rnacentral:rRNA from 1 species
UACGUAGGGUGCAAGCGUUAAUCGGAAUUACUGGGCGUAAAGCGUGCGCAGGCGGCUUUGCAAGACAGAUGUGAAAUCCCCGGGCUUAACCUGGGAACUGCAUUUGUGACUGCAUGGCUGGAGUGCGGCAGAGGGGGAUGGAAUUCCGCGUGUAGCAGUGAAAUGCGUAGAUAUCUGGAGGAACACCGGUGGCGAAGGCGGCAUCCUGGACCGAUAUUGACGCUGAUGCGCGAAAGCCAGGGGAGCAAACGGG